UACGGGGGGGGCAAGCGUUGUUCGGAAUUACUGGGCGUAAAGGGCUUGUAGGCGGCCAACUAAGUCGGAUGUGAAAUCCCCAGGCUCAACUUGGGAACUGCAUCCGAUACUGGAUGGCUUGAAUCCGGGAGAGGGAUGCAGAAUUCCAGGUGUAGCGGUGAAAUGCGUAGAUAUCUGGAGGAAUACCGGUGGCGAAGGCGGCAUCCUGGACCGGCAUUGACGCUGAUGAGCGAAAGCUAGGGGAGCAAACGGG
rnacentral:rRNA from 1 species